rnacentral:rRNA from 1 species
GACGUAGGGGGCGAGCGUUGUCCGGAUUUAUUGGGCGUAAAGCGUGCGUAGGCGGCUGCGCAAGUCGGUUGUGAAACCCCGGGGCUCAACCCCGGAACUGCAUCCGAUACUGCGUGGCUAGAGGUAGGUAGGGGAGAUCGGAAUUCCUGGUGUAGCGGUGAAAUGCGCAGAUAUCAGGAGGAACACCAGUGGCGAAGGCGGAUCUCUGGGCCUUACCUGACGCUCAGGCACGAAAGCUAGGGGAGCGAACAGG